AAAUCCUGUUUGAUUGCAGGGCUCCAUUUUGUGGCAGUACUGCCAUUAUCCUGCUGAAAUAAAAUCUUGUGUUGAUCAUUUUUGAUUUUGCCUUCAUGAGGGUAAAAUCGUGACACACUGACAUGGACAAUU